UUUUCAGUUUUUCAAAAAAAAUACAUUAGGUUUGUUUGGAAGCUACUCCGCUUCACAACACAAAGAACGCAAUUUUUGCUGUCAACGACGUAAGCGUUCAUUGGUUAAUAUCCUGACGUUUAAGUAUUCUUUCCGCGGAUUGGUUAGAGAGCCGCUCAACGCUCAACUUCAGAGUAGUGACUUAACAUUAUCACAAGAUGUCGCACUUUACAAGUUCGAGAGUCAAAAUUCAGCCCAAGUCCUUUCAGUCCGUUUCAGCACUGCAUGUAAAGUCUGGUGAAAAGUUCUUCAUCAUGUUAAAGGGGAUUCUGUUCUCCAUAUCAAAACCACCCAACUACGUCCGCGAGUGAAGGUCCUGUAUUGAGACUGAGGUAACAAAGACCCUCAUUCUGCCUGACACCGAAGCCGUUGUCCCGGCUGGAGCGAGGUCUGUGUCCUGGGACAGAGCAGUGCCAGCCAGCAAGAGAUGAUCCAUCCGUCCUGGCAUAGUCUAGGUGCUGUUGCGAGCGCAGAUUAAAGGCGGCUCCGACCAGGCUGAAUCACACGCGAACCCUGGACCAAGUCAGUCAGUGCAAAAUGGGUACGAAAUGAGGAUUAUCCAAGUGAAAAUUUAGAUUUUUGUAUCUCCAUCUUCUGAGGCAGUUUCUUCACUCGGACUUGUGCUCAUCCUUCAUCUUUACUGACUGAAGUCUAUCCUUCAAAUUUGCCAUAAAACUAUACAAUACUACCUCACCUUUAUUAACUGAAUGGCUCUCUCUAUCAAUCUUUUGCAAUCUGAUCUAG